GGCGAUGUAGCUCAGGUGGUUAGAGCGCAGAACUCAUAAUUCUGAGGUCGGUGGUUCGAGUCCACCCAUCGCUACCA
rnacentral:tRNA from 1 species